ACACCAACCCUCACAAAGCUUUGCAGAUCGAACAUUUAGAGGCCAUGUUUGAGUUCCUUGUAACCUUAGGAUCUUAACCAUACCAUUUUGAGGUCGUGAAAGCUUCAAAAACCCCAUGAACUCGAACCCCAAAUUUCAUGCACUAUUCAUUCACUAAUUCAAUGUGAGGUUUUUAGGAGUUUUUACGGACAUAGGGAGCUUUGAAUCAUCCUCACGAAGCUCGGAGAAGAAAAACCAAGCGAUUUCGACGUCGGGAAAUCGAGUUUGACGAGUUUUAAGUUUACACCGGAUUAUCAAGCUUUCUCCGGAGAAUUUUCGUGGAAUUCAAGCCUUGAAAUUGUUUUCCGGCGACGGCAACGGUCACCGGAGUCGAAGGAAGCGGAUGAGCAAAUAUUCCGUCAAUUUUUAUGGAAUAUUCUAACGGCAUCAGGGGAGACUUAUCCCGAUGACGAGCAUAGUCAAGGGCGGCUCGGGGACUACAACCCUUCAACAUACCAGUGAGUGGGCCUUUGGUUUUCAGUAUAUAUUUAUAUACUUGAUAUUU